rnacentral:rRNA from 1 species
AGACCCGAAACCCGGUGAUCUAGCCAUGGGCAGGUUGAAGGUUGGGUAACACUAACUGGAGGACCGAACCGACUAAUGUUGAAAAAUUAGCGGAUGACCUGUGGCUGGGGGUGAAAGGCCAAUCAAACCGGGAGAUAGCUGGUUCUCCCCGAAAGCUAUUUAGGUAGCGCCUCGUGAAUUCAUCUCCGGGGGUAGAGCACUGUUUCGGCUAGGGGGCCAUCCCGGCUUACCAACCCGAUGCAAACUGCGAAUACCGGAGAAUGUUAUCACGGGAGACACACGGCGGGUGCUAACGUCCGUCGUGAAGAGGGAAACAACCCAGACCGCCAGCUAAGGUCCCAAAGUCAUGGUUAAGUGGGAAACGAUGUGGGAAGGCCCAGACAGCCAGGAUGUUGGCUUAGAAGCAGCCAUCAUUUAAAGAAAGCGUAAUAGCUCACUGGUCGAGUCGGCCUGCGCGGAAGAUGUAACGGGGCUAAACCAUGCACCGAAGCUGCGGCAGCGAACGUAUCACUUAAAGCGAUUCAGCGGGUUACGAU